UACGUAGGGUGCUAGCGUUGUUCGGAAUCAUUGGGCGUAAAGCGCGUGUAGGCGGUUAGUUAAGUCUGGUGUGAAAUCCCUGGGCUCAACCGUGGAGGGUCAUUGGAAACUGGGGGACUUGAGUACAGAAGAGGAAAGCGGAAUUCCACGUGUAGCGGUGAAAUGCGUAGAGAUGUGGAGGAACACCAGUGGCGAAGGCGGCUUUCUGGUCUGUAACUGACGCUGAGGCGCGAAAGCGUGGGGAGCAAACAGG
rnacentral:rRNA from 1 species